rnacentral:rRNA from 1 species
GUGAGGUAACGGCUCACCAAGGCGAUGACGGGUAGCUGGCGUGAGAGCGCGAUCAGCCACACUGGGACUGAGACACGGCCCAGACUCCUACGGGAGGCAGCAGUGGGGAAUCUUGCACAAUGGGCGCAAGCCUGAUGCAGCGACGCCGCGUGGGGGAGGAAGGCCCUAGGGUUGUAAACCCCUGUCAGGUGGGAAGAGCAAGAGGUCGGCGAACAGCCGGCCUCCCCGACGGUACCACCAGAGGAAGCUCCGGCUAACUCCGUGCCAGCAGCCGCGGUAAAACGGAGGGAGCGAGCGUUGUCCGGAAUUACUGGGCGUAAAGAGUGCGUAGGCGGCCAUGUAAGUCGUGUGUGAAAGGCCGGGGCUUAACCCCGUGUAUGGCAUACGAUACUGCAUGGCUGGAGACAGGUAGGGGCGAGCGGAAUUCCCGGUGUAGCGGUGGAAUGCGUAGAUAUCGGGAGGAACACCAGUGGCGAAGGCGGCUCGCUAGGCCUGAUCUGACGCUGAAGCACGAAAGCGUGGGGAGCAAACAGGAUUAGAUGCCCUGGUAGUCCACGCCGUAAACGCUGGGCACUAGAUGUCGGGGGGCUUGGCCCCCCCGGUGUCGCAGCUAACGCAUUAAGUG